AGGCCACAAUUACACAUGCAAGCCUCCACAACCCCGUGCCCAACCCCAGACAGCCUACCCCGAACAACCUAGGCCAGGAGAUGACAUCAGGCACACACAGCUUAGCCCACGACGUCUAGCCACGCCACACCCCCACGGACUUCAGCAGUGAUAAACAUUAAGCAAUGGGCCCAAAACAAAAGCCCGACUCAGCUAUGGCCUUACACAAGCGUCGGUAAACUUCGUGCCAGCCACCGCGGUUAUACGAAGGACUCAAAACAAUACCUACGGCAUAAAACGUGAUCAGAACUAACCCCAAAGAAACUCGGAACCAUAAUACAGCUGUAAAACGCACACAUAUACCGGAACCCCAAUGACUUUCUACCAAGAACUUUGACUCACGAAAACCGAGACCUAAACUAGGAUUAGAUACCCUACUAUACCCGGUCGUAAACCAAGAUGGUUUAAUCAUACUACCAUCUGCCAGAGAAUUACAAGUGAAAAACUUAAAACUCUAAGGACUUGACGGUGCCCCACACCAGCCUAGAGGAGCCUGUCCUAUAAUCGAUACCCCACGCUCCACCUCACCCCCCCUUGCCAAACCCCGCCUAUAUACCGCCGUCGUCAGCCCACCUACUGAUAGCAACAAAAGUCAGCAUAAUAGCACCCCGCUAGCACGUCAGGUCAAGGUGUAGCUAAUGGGGGGGACUAAGAUGGGCUACAUUUGCUAACCUAUAGCAAACCCACUGAAAGCCCCAUGAAACAAAGGGCCAGAAGGCGGAUUUAGCAGUAAACACCGGCAAGACCUGCCCAUUUGAACACCGCUCUGGGGCGCGUACACACCGCCCGUCACCCUCCUCGCCACCACACAUAAACAAACCCCUAGAAACACCAC
rnacentral:ncRNA from 1 species